rnacentral:rRNA from 1 species
AUUGAACGCUGGCGGCAGGCCUAACACAUGCAAGUCGAGCGAGCGGCGGACGGGUGAGUAAUGUAUGGGGACUGCCUGAUGGCGGGGGAUCACUACUGGAAACGGUAGCUAAUACCGCAUACCCUACAAUAACCCAUAUGGGAUUAGCUUGUGGGUGAGGUAACGGCUCACCUAGGCGACGAUCCCUAGCUGGUCUGAGAGGAUGAUCAGCCACACUGGGACGGAGACACGGCCCAGACUCCUACGGAGGCAGCAGUGGGGAAUAUUGCACAAUGGGCGCAAGCCUGAUUCAGCCAUGCCGCGUGUAUGAAGAAGGCCUUCGGGUUGUAAAGUACUUUCAGUCGGGAGGCGUUACCGACAGAAGAAGCACCGGCUAACUCCGUGCCAGCCGCCGCGGUAAUUC